rnacentral:rRNA from 1 species
UGUGUAGGCGGCUGAGCAAAGUCAAGGAUGAAAUCCCGGGGCUCAACUCCGGAAUGGUCCUUGAAACUGUUCAGCUUGAGGAUAGUUGAGGAAAGCGGAAUUCCCGGUGGAGCGGUGAAAUGCGUAGAUAUCGGGAGGAACACCAGAGGCGAAGGCGGCUUUCUGAGCUAUUCCUGACGCUGAGACACGAAAGCUAGGGGAGCAAACG